rnacentral:rRNA from 1 species
AACGAACGCUAGCGGCAUGCCUAACACAUGCAAGUCGAACGAAGCCUUCGGGCUUAGUGGCGCACGGGUGCGUAACGCGUGGGAAUCUGCCCUUGGGUUCGGAAUAACAGUUAGAAAUGACUGCUAAUACCGAAUGAUGUCUUCGGACCAAAGAUUUAUCGCCCAAGGAUGAGCCCGCGUCGGAUUAGCUAGUUGGUGAGGUAAAGGCUCACCAAGGCGACGAUCCGUAGCUGGUCUGAGAGGAUGAUCAGCCACACUGGGACUGAGACACGGCCCAGACUCCUACGGGAGGCAGCAGUGGGGAAUAUUGGACAAUGGGCGAAAGACCUGAUCCAGCAAUGCCGCGUGAGUGAUGAAGGCCUAGGUUGUAAAGCUCUUUUACCCGGGUAUGAUAAUGACAGUACCGGGAGGAAUAAGACCCCGGCCGUAACCUACCGUUCGCCAGCAGCCGCGGUAAU